CAUCGUUAAUGGUCAGGAUAGCUCAG
rnacentral:tRNA from 2 species